rnacentral:lncRNA from 1 species
AAGGUUACUUUCCAAAAUGUUACUGUGUUGAGGAUUUCCAUAGAUACAAGCCUCCAUCACCAUCUCCAUAGAUCCAAGCCUCAAGAUACAUUUUUCUUGGUUCAUUUGCUUGGGUCCACCUGUCAACAAUGAGCACCUAGAGCCCAUUUCUCUAUAGAAUUAAAGUCUGGUCUCUGUCCUGAACAAACUACUUACACAGACACAUCUUCUCAUGCAGCAGAGUGUCAGAGACAGUUGGUACCAACGUGCUAAAGCAUCACAUCCCUGGAUUUGCAAAAUGAAUAAAGCUACCUAUCCAUCUCCUCUAAGAGAAAAGGAAAACUCAAGAGAACUGAGGAAAAGGGCAGACAGGGAUCACAUGAAUUUUC